rnacentral:rRNA from 1 species
UGCCAGCAGCCGCGGUAAUACGGAGGGGGCUAGCGUUGUUCGGAUUUACUGGGCGUAAAGCGCACGUAGGCGGAUCGAUCAGUCAGGGGUGAAAGGCCUGGGCUCAACCCAGGAACUGCCUUUGAUACUGUCGAUCUUGAAUCCGGGAGAGGUGAGCGGAAUUCCAAGUGUAGAGGUGAAAUUCGUAGAUAUUUGGAAGAACACCGGUGGCGAAGGCGGCUCACUGGACCGGUAUUGACGCUGAGGUGCGAAAGCGUGGGGAGCGAACAGGAUUAGAUA